UGAUUUGCAGCCCUUGCUGCUUGCUUCUAUGUCUGUCUCUGUAGGAGAGGUUGGCUCCUUGGUAACUGACACUGCUGAAUUUCCAACUGUAAGCUCUGUGCUGAGCUGGUUUGUUUCCUGGCAUUUUCAGUUCAGAAGUACAGCUUCUAGGGCUAUUUGACUGAACCACAUGAAAUUGCUGUUUUUUCCCAACCAUCAGAACUCAAACUCCAGACUUGAGAAUGGACUACGCUGGCAGCAUCGGGAGUAGGGACAUGGACAACUUGAAUCCAGAAUAUGAUUUGAAAAAUGAAUUAUUUAAAUCAGAGAUAAUAAGAUAUGCACUUUCUGAUAGCCUCAGAAAUGUGCACUGUGCUUUGAUGCGUCAAAGAAACUGUCUGCUGAAACAAGAGGAGGAAGUUGUCGAGAGGAGAAUGAUGGUAAAACAUCUGCGAUUAAGACAAGAGUUGUUGGCAUCAAAAAUUUUCCAUAUGAAAAUGGAAAACUUAGAUAGCAAUUUGGUACAUUGGUGGAAGAACCCAAUAAAAAGGAAAAGUAUUUUGGAGAAAAAGAUAGACUUCAUCCCAUCAUCAUUUGAAGGCCCUGGUGUCUUGAAUAAAGCUAAAUCGAAUCCUGUCGUCUGCAGUUUCCAUGACUUAUGGAUGGGAUACAAGGGAGAACAGGGGAAAGAUGCUUUUGACUGGCCAAUAAAGACAAGUUACAAUAAAGUUCAAAAGGAAAGAGAUUCUUCGGACAAUGAAGUGACAUUCCUUCAUUCAGAAUUGUUUCAAGCUAACUUUACUCUCAAACAGCUUGAAAAAGCAAACACCAAACUUCAGUCAAAGCUGUUAGCUAACAGAACAAUAAAUGAGAAUCUGUCCUUGCAACUGGCGUUUCUAAAACCAGAUCUCCAGUCCUCUGAGAAAAACAUCAAAGUUCUUGAAGAUGAAAAGAGAAAGCUAACUCUGAUGAUUAAAAGUCUUAAGGAAGAAAGAGAGCAACUUCUUUCCCAAAAAGAUUUGCUGAUAAAAGCCUUGACAACGCAGAAAGGGUGCAUAAACUUUGUCUGCAAUUAAUGGGGUUGCUUUCCUCUCCUGUGUUCCAGACUGUUGGUAUUUUUCCUCAGUUGUAGCUUGUUUCCAAUAAACAAUAUUUUAUUGAUAUGUUCUACUGAUGUACAAGAAGUAGUGGCGUGCUAGACUUUGCUAAAGGGUUAUAAAUUGUGGAAGGCGGUGACAAAUAUAUUCCUAAU
rnacentral:lncRNA from 1 species